AACUGUCCAUCUGAGGGCCAGGUUACAUAGAUUAUGGUCUGUCCAUACGUGUAACAGAGUGCUUUGCAGCUGACACGGAAGGAGCACACUCUUUGUGCGAUGAUACAAGGAUCUGACCUCACAAGGAAAGGGGAGGUACUUUGAGGCUUUGGGGACGAUCAUUGGGCUCUGCCAGGCCUUGGUGGCCCUGUCUGAGAUUCGAGGGGGUCGGCUUGGACCCCUGCUGGUUAGACACCCACAGCUCAGCACCAGCCGGUCCAGGCUUGCGUCCAGCUCUCCACAGUGCCUCCCCUCCACGGUGCCAGCACCCCUGUCUCCACUAGGUCCUGAUGGCGUGAGACGCCCAGCACCUUCUGACUCUGGCUGGAGAAUCCAGGUGGAGGUGCUCAGGCGGGAAGGCUGUGCCUACUGAAUGCUCUGUUUGAAGCCACACUCGGGCAACUGCCAGGAGGGAGUACCUGGAGGGCCCACCGACACCACCCUCAGCUGCUGAGGGAAGAACUGAGGAGGGGGCUUCCUGUCCGGUGUUGCUGAGGGUGCUCCUGAGAGCCAGGCUGCAGGAAAACGGGGCCCCCACUCUGGCCAACUCCCAGGCCCUGCCCAUGCAGCUGGAGGGGAGCUCAGGGCUGCCCAGGGCCGGUGUUCUGGAGGCGCAGGAGGGCGGGGAAGGGAGAGUCAGUGCUAUCCCUGGUCCAGAAGGAAGGAAGUCCCAGGUCAGGAGGGCCCCCACCCCCUCCCGGCCCCUGGAGACUCUGGGCUUCUCUCUCCCAGGGCCCUCCAGACACACCUCUGCCCACGGAUGGCUCAACUGACUGCCCAGCUGCUCCCGCGCGAGGUGCCCGGCCAGCCCAGCCGGUGCAGGGGGCAGGGGGCGGGCUAUCAAGGGUUGGGAGAUUCAGGAACCGAAUUUUAAAAAAAGAUGAGAAAGGAGUGGCCGACUUUUAAUUUUGCCCAUUAAAGGUGUUGUCACAAAAACAAUCUCUAUCUCCCAUAACCAUUUCAUUUAAAAAGAAUGUUUUAACAUUAAAAAGAAAACUCAAGUUUAA